AUGCUGGUUAAACUAGCAACCAAUAAAACAAUCAAAGAGUUAAUACACGAGUCUUCCUUUUACAACACAUGGAACCUCAACAUAAAUCAUCGGCAUCACAGGCUCCCAUGUCUUACAAUGAAACUGCAACAUAAAUCAGCAAAUUUAAUCAUCAUGCACCCUAAGGUUGAUACAUCAUACUUCAAGUUGCCACAGAAACGAGUUCCUAUUGUUUGGAGCAGCAACAACCAACAAAUAAAUACUCAGCAAAAUGAGCUCACAAGACAGACCAAGGUCUUGGCAAAGAUAUGCAAAUUUUUUUAG
rnacentral:rRNA from 1 species